rnacentral:rRNA from 1 species
UACAGAGGGGGCAAGCGUUGUUCGGAAUUACUGGGCGUAAAGGGCGCGUAGGCGGCCUUCUAAGUCGAACGUGAAAUCCCCGGGCUCAACCCGGGAACUGCGUCCGAGACUGGAAGGCUUGAAUCCGGGAGAGGGAUGUGGAAUUCCAGGUGUAGCGGUGAAAUGUGUAGAUAUCUGGAGGAACAUCGGUGGCGAAGGCGGCUUGCUGGGCUUUGUCUGACGCUGAGGCGCGAAAGCGUGGGGAGCGAACAGG